rnacentral:rRNA from 1 species
UUAUUUAGUUUAUUAUAUUUUAUUUUAUUUUUAUAAUUUUUAAUAGAAAUAAUUUUAUUUUUUAUUGUCUUAGUAUAUUUUGUGGAAUUGAUUUUUUUUAUAAUAGUUUAUUAGUAAUGUAAUUGAAUUUUGUAAUAAUUAUUUAUAUUUUAGAAAGUAGAUUUGUAUUAUUGUACAUUUUGUAACAGGGUA